CCGGGGUUUCUGGAGUUGCUUUAUGCAGAGGAUGGAGAGCUGAAAGUGCCGGAAGUUUCUGUGCCCCCAAGGAGACACUUGGUCAAAGACGGAGUGGUCUGGAAGCGUAAACUCCAGCUCCCUUGCCUCAAGUCGGGCCAAACCCGAAGGAUAACUCCCACGCCAGAGCUUCCCCGCACGAUCCAGCUGAGCAAGCCAGAAAUUCGAGGAACGAAUGCCUCCCGCCUCUCCAGGAGCAGCCGUCAACCAAUGACUGACAGGACUUGGUGGAUAAAUACCCCGGCUCCGUCUCCGCCUCGUCUGGCUGUCGCUGUGGCAUGUUCCGGAAGGGCCGAGCUCAGGCUGCCGGCAGUAGUGAUAAUUCCCCUUUAUUGAUUUCCUUCUCUUCCCAGCCCUACUUCUCCACCUCCCUGCCAGUGUUUCCUGAGAUCACCUCCCAAAUAAACCCUUUGCACUUGAA